rnacentral:tmRNA from 2 species
GGGGAUGACAGGCUUCGACGGGAGAGGCUGGUUCCGGAAUGCGAGCCGAGCGCGCGCCGACCUCGUAAAAUCAGCGCAAAACCUCAAGUGCCAACAACCGCACUUACGCUGCUAUGCCCCUCGCCGCCUAGGUGAGAGCGUAACAGUGGACGCCCUCGGGCGUCCCGUCCGCCGUCCCCGUUCCCUACCCGGUGACGGACCGGGCGAAACAAUGGUAGUGUGCCGCGUGUGACUCCGCUAAACACGCGAAAGACCAGCGGAUGGUCACAGGCUUACCAGCCCGCCGGGGUGUCUGUGGUGACGAUUAACGGCAGGCUACGCUCGUAGAGUUCCGCGGGUCGAAUCUUUCGGACGCGAGUUCGAUUCUCGCCAUCUCCACCU